rnacentral:rRNA from 1 species
GGGUUAACCUCUCAGUCCCCCUAUGUAUCGUCGCCUUGGUGAGCCGUUACCCCACCAACUAGCUAAUACAACGCAUGCCCAUCUCUAACCAUCGGAAUUUUCAACCAUAAAAGAUGCCUUCUAUGAUAUUAUGGGGUAUUAGUACCAAUUUCUCAGUGUUAUCCCCCUGUUAAAGGUAGGUUGC